GGUUUUGUUUCCAGGAAACCUCAAAGUAUUUUGCUUCUCUUCCUUUUUCUGUCUGUUCUCCCUCUUUUAUAACCUGAUUUUCAUGGCUUUGUGGGCUCAAAUGAGAGAGGUCCAAGUUUGAGAUUUUUUCUUUUAUUUAUUUAUUUAUUUAUUUAUUUAAUUUAUUUAUUUAUUUUUUCAUUUUGUUUUUUUUCGGCUUUUUUUU
rnacentral:lncRNA from 1 species